GAGUUUGAUCCUGGCUCAGAACGAACGCUGGCGGCGCGCCUAACACAUGCAAGUCGAACGAGAGGCUCUUCGGAGUAGUAAAGUGGCGAACGGGUGAGUAAUACAUGGGUAAUCUGCCUUCGAGCAGGGGAUAACCAGCCGAAAGGCUGGCUAAUACCCCAUACGCUUCCGGUCCUUCGGGUAAGGAAGGAAAGCUGCAUCGUGGAUGUGGCACUCGAAGAUGGGCCCAUGGCCUAUCAGCUUGUUGGUGGGGUAAUGGCCUACCAAGGCAACGACGGGUAGCUGGUCUGAGAGGACGAUCAGCCACACUGGCACUGAGAUACGGGCCAGACUCCUACGGGAGGCAGCAGUGAGGAAUCUUGCGCAAUGGGCGAAAGCCUGACGCAGCGACGCCGCGUGGGGGAAGAAGGUUUUCGGAUUGUAAACCCCUUUUAGGAGGAAAGAUGGGGUGGUUCGCCACCCGGACGGUACCUCCAGAAAAAGCCACGGCUAACUUCGUGCCAGCAGCCGCGGUAAUACGAAGGUGGCGAGCGUUGUUCGGAUUUACUGGGCGUAAAGAGCACGUAGGCGGUUUAGUAAGCCCCUUGGGAAAGCUACGGGCUUAACCCGUAAAGGUCGAGGGGGACUGCUAAGCUAGAGGGCGGGAGAGGAGCGCGGAAUUUCCGGUGUAGCGGUGAAAUGCGUAGAUAUCGGGAAGAAGGCCGGUGGCGAAGGCGGCGCUCUGGAACGUCUCUGACGCUGAGGUGCGAAAGCGUGGGGAGCAAACAGGAUUAGAUACCCUGGUAGUC
rnacentral:rRNA from 1 species